ACACACAUCAAGCAAACCUACAAGUGUGCAAGAAUACAUCGCAUUUGGAGAGGGGGUUGCAGUUUUUGUCUUUCAGCAUCUCCCAAUUGAUAGAACCUUUGGGGAAACUAUUGCAUUUGUCUUCUCUCCCACUUCAGUUCUGGAGAAAACAAAAGGAGACAGGGCAAAGAACAGUCAUGAAUCUAGUUGACAGGUCCUAGAAGAAUCUCAUUUAAUCCUAGCUUUGUAAAGUUUUGCUUCAUUCCAUGGCAACAUGGGUAUACACAGCACACUGGAAGUUCCAGUGGCUUGCAGCAGGUACGGUUUCUGCCAAAUGCUUCUAGCAGGAGGAAAUGAGAAGACAAGACCCAGAAUUCACAUGCAGGCCUUCUUGUUGUGCCUUGGGAUCUCUCUAAAGCUAGCACCUUAUGUGGAGCAAAUACUGUUCAGGCAGGUCCCAGCACUAUUAGAAAGCAAGAAGGAAUUCGGAGGAACAUCCAAAAGCAGGAAGAACUUCUGAGUGGGUGAAGAAUAGGCACAUCAUUCCUAUUCCAUUACAUAUGUGAUGAAAUAGAAAAACUCAACAAAGAUCUAAAUGCAUGGCUUAUUUCUAAAACUGACUCUAUAUUUCUAUGUAUGGCCUUUAUAAACAAAAGAAGAGAAGCAAUCAUUUUGAAUAUUUACUUGCUUUGUGUUAUUUAUAAUUCUGUUUUUCCUGUUCAUUUUAAAUUCAGAUAUUCAAAAUAUUAUUGAAAAGUUCUCUUCUGGUUCUAGGCAGAUAGCUUGAGUAUGCUAAAGUGAGGGACUUGUGGUGCCAGAGAGGAUUCUGGUUCAUUGUUUCUGCCAAUUAAACAAUUAAAGGGUAGCAAAGUGUUUAAAGAAGAUAGAGCAGGAUUUUGAAAGUAAAAGAAACAAAUGAAGCAGUAAGAGGAGCUUCUUAUAUAGAGGGAGCCAGGAGCCAGGAGUGUCUCUAAGUCUCUCUCUUGAGGGCUAUUAUAUAGAAGGUCCCAUUCCUCCUCCCUUUUAGGGUGUGACACUGCUCUGAUUGGUCAAGGAGUGUACUGUAGGGAGUCUUAUGAUUGAUUCUCCCAUACUGCACAUGUUGUCUUGUGAGCCACUCCCCCAUUGUUGUAGCUGGUGUAAGAUACCAUCUUUUACCUUGCCAGGGAGGCCUAACUUCACCUUUCCCAGUGUUUUGGGCAAAGCCAUCUACUCUAUUCAGUCUCAUCAUCUCCUUAAUAAAGAUUGUGAAU